UGGGCUGUAGCUCAGUGGUAGAGCUCUUGCCUAGCACGCGUGAGGCACUGGGUUCAAUUCUCAGUACCACAU
rnacentral:tRNA from 1 species